ACAGACAGACGCGGAGAAAAGACCAUGUGGGGACACAGGGAGAAGAUGGCCACAUACAAGCCAAGGAGAGAGGCCAGAGAAGAAUCCAGCCCUGUCCAUGCAUUGAUCUGGGACUUCCAGCCUCCAGCACGUUGGCUGCUGUAACGUGGAUGAGAUUGGAAGCCCAUCUGGAGGCCUGUCUUCUCCACCCAGGGACUGAGGCCCCUUGAGGUCAUCAAGCUCCUUCUGUGACUGAUCAGUGAUUCCUCCAUGAGUCUAGCUCCUGGCCCCGUGCUCUGGAUAUCCGUCCCUGGCAGCGUGCCGGGCAGCCAAAUGGACAGCUCUAUAAGACUCAAGCCGACAGCGGAGGGAGUGCAACCGACAGCCUUGGCCCGGCUUUCAGAGGAGAACGUUAUUCACCCCAACUGCUCUGCAUCUGCCUGGAUGUCUGCCAAGAUCUGUGAGCACUACAGCGUUGGUAUGCUUUGGGUGAGGCCUGUGGCCAUGGCAACGGGUUGGGAGCAACUGGGUCCUUGGGAAUGAGAACAGUGGCUAAAAUCAGUCGGGCGAGGGGUAGGAAGGAGAGGUAAAGGUUGGACUUGCCUGAAGAUGGAGCCGUUUUAUUGUCGUUUAUUGCUGCUACAGUCAGGGGCUGUUUACAGAGCCGGUGCAGCUCAAGCUGGGAGCACGUUAGACUCAGCAACUACCAUCAACCUAUUGAUUUGUUCCCAUCAGACAGAGUAAAUGAACUGCGGCAGUACUGGCCAUGUACCACUAACCUCCUGUGAACCAGCCCUCGUUGAAGCAUUUCUGCGAAAGGCCAUGGUGUUCCCGUAAGAGGGUGCAUGUUAGCUCCCCUGACUAACUCUUCAUUAAGCCUCAUUUUCACACACUGGUGUGCAGGAAAGAGUCCCACAUGCCCCAUUGACAGAGAUGCUCUGUAUGUGGAAAGUCUUUGAGUAGAGCACUGGGCUCAGGUUUGAAGAUGUGAGUUCUAAUCCCAGCAAGGCCGUUGCCCCCCAGUGAUUUCCUCAUCCACAAAACAAGGGCAUUGGUGACGUGACCUCCAAGGCCUCUCCAGUUCUCACCUUCUGUGUCUCUACAGACUGGAGAGUAGAAGAUAAUGAGGCACUUUUAUUAGUUGAGUCUUUUUCCUUUUCGAUUUCCAUUUCUUUAAUGCCAUCAGCUGGAAAUGAGGACAAGUUUUUUUU